GAGAACCACUGCACUAAAGCUUGGAUCCACUUUAAAUCUACUUUAGGGAGGUCCAGGGCCUCACCAAACUACAGACCCCAGAAGACUGCAAAUGAACCCUCAGCUGAUUCAAGUUCCUUCUGCUUUCCUGUCCAAGGUGUAACUACACCUCCCAGCAAUCCUUGCAAGCUGUAGAGAGAUGGCCAGCAGCUGGUCUCCCUGAAGCAAAGAGAACUUAGUGAGGGCUAGGAAACUAAUGGAAGCCAGGACUUCAUUUCAAAACUGAAGUGAUGCAAAGAAGACAAGAGUCUGGAAGAGAGAUCCAACUUGGAAAUGUCUCCUCUUCCAUGGCCAUUUAUGAACAGAAGAUGGAUGAGGUUGCGCUGGAUCUUACCUGUCCUUCCAGAAAAAUCCAGCAUGAAAAUGAGGAAAACAAGGAUGCUGCUGUUUCACUUUCUCCAACAGACAAAGCAGGGG